rnacentral:lncRNA from 10 species
CAUAUAUAAACCGCUUUGCAAAAAGAGAGUGUAUGGAAUAAAAGAGAAAAUGAAGAAGAGGAGAAAGGCUGGAGUGCAAUGGUGUGAUCUCAGCUCACUGCAGCCUCAACCUCCCUGGCUCAGGUGAUUCUCCCACCUCAGCUUCCUGAUUAACUGGGAUUACAGUAAUGGUGAAAUUGCCGGUAAUCGCUAAGUAAAAACCACUGAAGAACAGGACAGAAGCCAAUGACCACCUCACCUCCACCGAGUGCCCUGCAGAAAAAGGAAAUGGAAAUCCUUCCUGUUAUUCUCCGCGUCCCUUCGUAGAAGGCUGCCUGAGAGGUCAGCACAGGAGUCCUCUAAGUGCCCUGCAGAGAACACGGGUCUCGGAGCCGGACAAACCUAAAUUUU